rnacentral:rRNA from 1 species
AUUGAACGCUGGCGGCAGGCCUAACACAUGCAAGUCGAGCGAGCGGCGGACGGGUGAGUAAUGUGUGGGAAACUGCCUGAUGGAGGGGGAUAAAUACUGGAAACGGGAGCUAAUACCGCAUACCAUCAGAGGUGCGCAGAUGGGAUUAGCUAGUAGGUGGGGUAACGGCUCACCUAGGCGACGAUCCCUAGCUGGUCUGAGAGGAUGACCAGCCACACUGGAACUGAGAACCGGUCCAGACUCCUACGGGAGGCAGCAGUGGGGAAUAUUGCACAAUGGGCGCAAGCCUGAUGCAGCCAUGCCGCGUGUGUGAAGAAGGCCUACGGGUUGUAAAGCACUUUCAGCGGGGAGGCGUUACCCGCAGAAGAAGCACCGGCUAACUCCGUGCCAGCAGCCGCGGUAAUAC